AUCCAGUUGACGAGUCCCAAAUAGGAUGAAAUGCGCAUCAAACUGGAU
rnacentral:hammerhead_ribozyme from 1 species